rnacentral:lncRNA from 1 species
GCCAUGCAUGUGGUGUAUCCACAUUAGCGGGUCUUAAUUUAACCCGAUCAACAUAAGAUGUGGAUUGAGAUUUAUCAUAAUAAAGUAAGGAUAAUGAUGAACUAUACAUUUCUUACUAGUUAAGAAACGUAUCUCCUAGUGGAUAUCUAUUAUGGGUUUCCUAAUCCUAAUCUUUACAUGAGAUUCAGGAUAUUUUGGGGGUUCUGUUAUUCUAUAAAUACAUCCUAUUUUCUCUCCCGUAUGAUAGAUGAUCUAAUACGAUCUAAUUCGAUAAUCCACAAAAAAUCUUCCUUCUUCUCUCUCUCCUUCCUCUCUGGUAUUUCCACCUACGUUCCCGG